rnacentral:rRNA from 1 species
UACGAGGGGGGCGAGCGUUGUUCGGAAUUAUUGGGCGUAAAGGGUGCGUAGGCGGUUCCGCAAGUCCUGUGUGAAAUCUUCGGGCUUAACUCGAAGCCUGCACGGGAAACUGCGGGGCUUGAGUGUGGGAGAGGUGAGUGGAAUUCCUGGUGUAGCGGUGAAAUGCGUAGAUAUCAGGAGGAACACCUGUGGCGAAAGCGGCUCACUGGACCAUAACUGACGCUGAUGCACGAAAGCUAGGGGAGCAAACAGG